AUUGAACGCUGGCGGCAUGCCUUACACAUGCAAGUCGAACGGCAGCAUGGAGAGCUUGCUCUCUGAUGGCGAGUGGCGAACGGGUGAGUAAAGCAUCGGAACGUACCGUGUAGUGGGGGAUAACGUAGCGAAGGUUACGCUAAUACCGCAUACGCACUGAGGUGGAAAGCAGGGGAUCGUAAGACCUUGCGCUAUACGAGCGGCCGAUGUCAGAUUAGUUAGUUGGUAGGGUAAAGGCCUACCAAGGCGACGAUCUGUAGCGGGUCUGAGAGGAUGAUCCGCCACACUGGAACUGAGACACGGCCCAGACUCCUACGGGGGGCAGCAGUGGGGAAUUUUGGACAAUGGGGGCAACCCUGAUCCAGCCAUGCCGCGUGAGUGAAGAAGGCCUUCGGGUUGUAAAGCUCUUUCGGCCGGGAAGAAAUCGCACAGGCUAAUACCCUGUGUGGAUGACGGUACCGGCAUAAGAAGCACCGGCUAACUACGUGCCAGCAGCCGCAGUAA
rnacentral:rRNA from 1 species